rnacentral:rRNA from 1 species
GAUGAACGCUGGCGGCGUGCCUAAUACAUGCAAGUCGAGCGAACGGACGAGAAGCUUGCUUCUCUGAUGUUAGCGGCGGACGGGUGAGUAACACGUGGAUAACCUACCUAUAAGACUGGGAUAACUUCGGGAAACCGGAGCUAAUACCGGAUAAUAUUUUGAACCGCAUGGUUCAAAAGUGAAAGACGGUCUUGCUGUCACUUAUAGAGGGAUCCGCGCUGCAUUAGAUAGUUGGGAAGGUAACGGCUUACCAAGGCAACGAGGCAUAGCCGACCUGAGAGGGUGAUAGGCCACACUGGAGCUGAGACACGGUCCAGACUCCUACGGGAGGCAGCAGUAGGGAAUCUUCCGCAAUGGGCGAAAGACUGACGGAGCAGCGCCGCGUGAGUGAUGAAGGUCUUCGGAUCGUAAAACUCUGUUAUUAGGGAAGAACAUAUGUGUAAGUAACUGUACACAUCGUGACGGUACCUAAUCAGAAAGCCACGGCUAACUACGUG